UGGCUCAGUGGAUAGAGUGUUGGCUUGCAGAUCCAAAGGUCCCGGGUUCAAUUCCGG
rnacentral:tRNA from 1 species